rnacentral:rRNA from 1 species
UACGAAGGGGGCUAGCGUUGCUCGGAAUUACUGGGCGUAAAGGGCGCGUAGGCGGCACUGUUAGUCAGGCGUGAAAUUCCUGGGCUCAACCUGGGGACUGCGCUUGAUACGGCAGAGCUUGAGGAUGGAAGAGGGUCGUGGAAUUCCCAGUGUAGAGGUGAAAUUCGUAGAUAUUGGGAAGAACACCGGUGGCGAAGGCGGCGACCUGGUCCGUUACUGACGCUGAGGCGCGACAGCGUGGGGAGCAAACAGG